rnacentral:rRNA from 1 species
CGGACGGGUGAGUAAUGCUUGGGAAUCUGGCUUAUGGAGGGGGAUAACUACGGGAAACUGUAGCUAAUACCGCAUAAGCGCACGGCAUCGCAUGAUGCAGUGUGAAAAACUCCGGUGGUAUAAGAUGGACCCGCGUUGGAUUAGCUAGUUGGUGAGGUAACGGCCCACCAAGGCGACGAUCCAUAGCCGACCUGAGAGGGUGACCGGCCACAUUGGGACUGAGACACGGCCCAA